GUCUAUGGCUAUACCACACUGAAUGCGUCUGAUCUUGUCUGAUCUCAGAAGCUAAACAGGGUCGGGCCUGGUUAGUACUUGAUGGGAGACUGCGUGGGACUACUGGGUGCUGUAGGCU
rnacentral:rRNA from 1 species